UCAUCUCUGUUCUUUUGCACAAGGAAACUGAAACAACCCCCGAAGCAUUUCUCUUCUUUUUCACAAGGAAAACAUGGCCGAGUCUUUUGUCAUCAAUGUUGUCCUGGGAACCCUAAGCCGCUCGAUUUCCCUAGCAAAGAACGAGAUUAGGUUGGGUUUGGGUUUGGGUUUCAAGAGAGACCUCAGGAAGAUCGUCCGAAGGCUAAGAAAGAUCCGGAAAAGGUUACGUCAUGCUCAGGGUCGGACAAUAGCACCAGAAGCCGAAAAAGAGUGGUUUAAGAGUCUCAAUGUUAGAAUCUGUGGUGUUGAGAAUGCGCUGGUUGAGUUCUCGUAUGAAUCUCGUCGUAUGACUCUUGAGGUUCAAAACCAAACGACGGAAAAGGUACGCAGUUGCUUCUCCUUCACUAACAGUUUUGCACUUCGUUUCAAGAUGGCUCUUAAGUUCAAAUAUAUGGAUUUUACUUUAGCCAGGAUUUGGAAAGAAGCAUAUUACUUCAGUCCUACUUUGCGUUCCAUGGGCUUGGUGGGGGAGGACGAGGUAUCUGAUUAUAAACGUUUAGGUGUAGAGCAAGGGGAUGUGUCGGGGGAGGAAGAGAAUGUCGUGGGGGGCACGAUUGUCUAUUUAGAGGGAGAGGCUGUGGAGAGGGAGGAGGAUGUCCAUAUAGUGGCAGAGAUGUUACUUGGCUCCGACAUUGAAGAUGGUCCAUCCGUCAUUGCUAUCGUAGGGAUGGGUGGGCUCGGAAAGACUACCCUUGCUCAACUAGUGUACAAAAACGAGAAAGUUGUGAACAAUUUUGGUGAUGAGAGAAUGUGGGUUUCUGGAUUUGUCGAUUUCAAUGUUAAGAGGGUAUUGAAUGAGAUGCUCAAAUCUCUUACUGGGGUGAAAUCUAAGUUACAUAAUAUUCAUGGAAUAGUUCGAGAAUUGCGGGAGAAACUUGGAGGGAAAAGGUAUUUACUUGUAUUGGACGAUGUUUGGAGUGGGAGUUUAGGAAAAUGGGAAUGCUUGAGAGAUUCUUUGCUAGAAAUGGGUGGCUCCAAGAGAAGCAAAAUCGUAGUCACAACCCAUAGUAUGGAGGUGGUAUCAAGCAUGAUAAAUUUUCCAACUCUCACUCAUCAAUUGAGUCCACUAUUGCCGUCUGAUAGUUGGGCCAUGUUUACAAAAGGAGUAUUUGCAAACGGAGGACCAAUAGAAACUCAACCUUUGGUGGACAUUGGUAAAAGAAUUGUGGAAAAUUGCAAUGGUGUGCCAUUAAAGAUAAAGUCAAUAGCAAGCCUACUGUAUUGUAGGCAUAGUGAAGAUGAAUGGUGGUCAAUCGUGAACAACAUAUGGAGUUCAUUUGAAAAUGGUUGGGUGUCGAUUAAGAACAAUGAAAUAUGUAGUUCUUUUGGAAAUGAAAAUAGAAUUCUAAAGAAGUUAAGUUCAACUUUCAAUCGGUUGCCAUUGGAUUUGAAAUUGUGUUUUGCGUAUUCCUCUGUUUUUCCAAAGGGUGCUGACAUAAAAAGAGAUGAAUUGAUUGGGCUUUGGAUGGCUCAAGGAUAUUUGCAGCUUCCUAAAGGAACCGAUACAGAAAUGGAAGAUGUAGGCCGUGACUAUUUUGAUAGUUUGUUGAGCAGUUCUUUAUUUCAAGAUGUUGAAAUGAAUGAGUACAAUAGUAUUGAAACUUGCAAAAUGCAUGAUCAUGUACAUGAUCUUGCAGUACAUGUUUCAGAGGGUCACAGUUUGGCAUUGGAGCCUGUUGAGAUAAAGUAUCAUCCCGAGGUUCAACAUUUGUCAUUGGAACUUUGGGAACAUUCAACCGUAGAUAUCCCAAAAGAAUGUGUUGUAACACUGAGGACACUCUUUUUGACUGGAUAUCUUCCCAAAAACUUUGAGGAUUUUGGUUCUAUAUGCGCCCUAGGUUUGUUUGGAGAUGAUGUGCAAAAGUUGCCUAGUUCAAUACAGAAGUUCAUGUAUCUGAAGUAUCUUGACCUCUCGGAGAGUUCUAUUGAAACACUGCCAAAUUUUGUCACGAAGCUCUAUAAUUUGGAAACAUUGAAACUGCCUUGGUGUUUGACAGAGAUGCCUACACAAUUUCAUAAGUUGGUUAGCUUGAGACAUUUCUGUGUUACCGAUACUGUAGAAACUAGGAAAUUGAUGCCAAUGAAUAUAGGAAUGUUGAUGUCUCUACAGACAAUACCAUUCUUUGUUGUGAGGGAGGCUAGUGGCCGUAGAAUUGAAGAAUUGGGAAGGUUAAGCAAGAUAAGAGGUAAAUUACAUGUUUACGAUCUCCAGCACGUGAAAGACAAGGAAGAAGCAGAAAAGGCUUUGAUGUUACAAAAAGCAAACAUUCAGGAAUUGGGACUUCAUUGGGAUUGUUGUGGCAGUAGUUCCAACAACCACGAGGAUGUGUUGGAAGGACUUGAACCUCACAAGAAUGUUAUGGGCUUAAUACUUGAAGGUUUUCGAGGACGAAGAUUUCCGUCAUGGAUGACAAGUAAAGAUGCCCAGGUGCUUCAAAAUCUGGUGAAAGUCGAAUUAAGGUACUGUACACCAUGUGAAAUUCCAACCGUCGGACACCUUCCGGCCCUGAAGGUUAUUGAAAUUGUUGGAUGGGAUAAUCUGGAGUGUAUUGGCCCUGAAUUCUUUGGCUACGAUGAUGAAGGAGCACCAGAUGCAGUAGUGUUUCCAAAACUGAGGAAACUUACUCUACUGGACUUGCCGAAUCUAGUAAAAUGGUCACUGCCGGCUAGUACGAGUACGACAAUGUUCUUUCCUUGCCUUGAGGAGUUAUAUAUUAAGGGGUGCCCUCAGUUGAUUACUAUUCCAGGUCAUUUCUUUUCCUUUCAGGAAUUGACUAUUUCGUCCAUAAAUAUUUCUAGUUCUAAAAUUGGAAAUAUGUAUCACCACCCUUCUUUGACCAUUUGCUCAUCAGAUUGGGAUUCAGAAAAGAUAGGGUUUUUGUUGAUAGAUGUGCUGGAAAAUAGCAGUAAUUCUCUAAGGAAGCUGACAAUAAGGGGAUUAAAUGACCUGUCUUAUUUGCCAAAAAAACUAAGGAACCUUCCAUCUGUUGAUGAGUUAACAAUUAUUGAAUGCUCUGAUCUAAUGUCUCUUGCUGAAGAAAGUGAAGGAUUCAAUGGCUUGAUAUCUCUCCGACAGCUUUCACUUCAGCGGUGCGAAGAGUUAACAUUUUUGCCUAAGGGUCUGCUACAACAAAGCCUUGUGACGUUAGAAAUAGACAGUUGUCCGAAGUUGAUAAUGGCUAAUCCAUAUGAACUGCGCAGCCUCACAUCCCUUCAGAGUUUGACUAUACGAAAUUGUCCAACCAGCCUUGGAAGCUUGGAGCAUUCUUGGAAGAAGGGGCUUCUCUGCCCUUCCAGCCUUCUAAGACUGGAGAUUGGUUCCUUCUCAAAGGAUCUUGAUUAUUUUCCUUGGCCUUCCUCGGGUGCUAUUCUUCCUGCUGCUAAUGCAGAUGUUGAUUCAGAUAUCGAGCGUUGCCACCAAUGUCACCGUCCCACAAUGUAUUCCUUCAUCUCCCUGAGAUCUCUACAUUUAUGGGGAUGGGAAAAGGUAAAGCAUCUGCCUGAUGAACUUCAGCACCUUACUACUUUGAGAGAGUUGUCAAUCCACCAUUUCAAUGGGUUAGAAGCUCUUCCGGAGUGGCUGGUUAACCUUUCAUCUCUUCAGUCUUUGGGGCUCUAUAGUUGCAGGAACCUGAUGAGAUUUCCCAUUCCCCGCCUCACCUCUUUACAAAUCUUGACUGUAAAAGACUGUCCCCUUCUAAGGAAAAGAUGCAAAAAGGGAGUUGGUGCAGAAUGGCGCAAGAUUGACCACAUUCCAUUAGUCAAUGUUUCAUUUGCUUCUCAAGAAUAUCCCUGAAACCGACGUGUGUGUGCAACCUGAAGUUUAAAGGUUCCCUCUGCAGUUCUUCCAUGAAGAUGAAGCAUGAAAAGUCUCCUGCCAGUACCAUCUACAGUUUGUUUUCAUAAUUGUAAGGGUUUUUAAUUUUCUGUGGUUUCAUUGAUUUGCAUUUUUUCCGACUUGGAUCUCUUGUCAAAAUACUUACUUGAUUCCACUCCCGAGGUUUUCUUCGUACACAUCCAACCGUUACGAGUUCUUUUGACCUCCAUGAACGGUGAUAUAAUGAUGCUUUAAUGCAAUGCACGAUGAGUGAAAUCCACAAGGAUUUCAAGGCAAAACAUAGUUUCUUGAAGGUGAUAUUGCAAAUAGAUUGUCCAGGCUUAAUGAGCUCUUAUUGAAGCGGUUGUCGAUUUCCAAGAAGCACCAACACUAAGGUGGUGUUUCGUCAUGUCGGACACCGACACUCCCAGUCCAGGCUAUAGGAUUUGAUGGACUAGCCCACACUUAGAAUUGUGUUCAUUUAACAAUGGAAUAGGCUGCAGCUACUACUGCUGCUUUGGCAAAGAUGCAUGGGGCUGACAUCACUGUUGUAGUUAUUCAUGAAAAGCUGAAAGAAUCAUUGCCAGAGCAUGAUAGCCAACUCUCUAGCAUACACCGGCAUCUAUCCAAAGGUAGAAGCCAACAACCAUUCAUUGGUGAGAUUGCAAUCCGUCGGACCGAUUUGCCGUUCAAAAAUAAAAUAAAAUCCGUCAGACCGAUUUUUCACCAUCUCUCUUGAAACCAAUUGGCAUUAGGGAGGGUUUCAAUUAAAUCUUUUAUGGCAUUGAACGCCAUACCCAUAUGUCUACCUUUAUGGCAUUGUGGCACUCCUGGCCCAACACAAUCCAUUCCAAGAACCGUAAAUUUCACUUGCCUUCUUGUACUUUUGCCUCUGUAGAGUCUUAGUCUUAGUCUUACUUUUGUACUUUGGCAUUGUUUGAAGAACUGAAGUGGUGAACUUUUCGUUGAAGGAAAAAUAAAAAAUCAUGGCCACCAUGGUCAAACUUCAGUCUGGGCUAUGUUUUCUUGAUGAAGAAUGAUGGUUUUCCUAGUGCAUGAAUAUGCGAAUCAGCAAGUUGUUCUGGUUGCAA